rnacentral:SRP_RNA from 1 species
GCCGGACGCGGUGGCGCGCGCCUGUAGUCCCAGCUACUCGGGAGGCUGAGAUGGGAGGAUCGCUUGAGCCCAGGAGUUCUGGGCUGUAGUGCGCUAUGCCGAUCGGGUGUCCGCACUAAGUUCGGCAUCAAUAUGGUGACCUCCCGGGAGCGGGGGACCACCAGGUUGCCUAAGGAGGGGUGAACUGGCCCAGGUCGGAAACGGAGCAGGUCAAAACUCCCGUGCUGAUCAGUAGUGGGAUCCCGCCUGUGAAUAGCCACUGCACUCCAGCCUGGGCAACAUAGCGAGACCCCGUCUCUU